GACAAAAUCCGUUUUCUCUCCGAAAGGCAGAAAUGAUGCACAAUUACAUAUAAAACAUGUAUUUUCGAAUUUUCUUGAAUUCCGUGCUUCAAACUCAAAAUCCGUCAGCGCCAUAAGUUCUAGAACAGCUAAACCGGUCGAAACGAGCUAUUGGACUGCUAUGAGCGGAGUCCGGUACGAGCCAGAAGCCACCUCUACGCAUU
rnacentral:lncRNA from 1 species